rnacentral:misc_RNA from 1 species
ACUUGUGUGCCUUUGAUCAG